CGGCUUGAGGACCGUAUUCAUGGAAGAGGAUCGAACAGAAGACUACUGAGUUCUUAUGAGAAAAAUGGCUCUUAAGAAAUUGAAGGUGAUACCAAAGGAAGGUUACUUAUUACUUUUGGACUUUGAUGAUGAGAACGAUGAUAUAAAAGUUUCAGAGGAGGCUCUUUCGGAAGAGAUGAAGUAGACAGUAUGUUGGAUAAAUCUGAAGAUGACAUUUAUAAGACGCUUCACAUAAAGAGAAAAUGGAUGGAAACUUAUGUCAAAGAAUCUUUCAAAGGCAGGAACCAGAAAUUAGAAAGAUUUUGCAAAAUGAACGAACGAGAGAGGAAGAACAUCAACAACAAAUUUUGUGAGCAGUAUAUAACUACAUUUCAGAAGUCUUAUAUGGAUGUACAGAAAUUCAAUGAGGAAAAAGAAAAAUCAGUGAAUAGUUGUCAAAAAGAACAACAAGCAUUGAAACUGUCCAAAUGUAGUCAGAACCAGACCCUGGAAGCAGGUAAAGAAAUGCAUGAGAAGUCCAUGGAGCUGCAUCAUUGGACUCAAACUGAAUGGUCCAUGUGUUGCCACUGAUGUGAGCCAUUUGCAAGCC
rnacentral:precursor_RNA from 1 species